UGUGCUUAGGCUCCUGUGGUUCGGAACCUUGUACUGGCACCGGGGUCGCCACGUUGGCGACUUUAGCACUUUUGGCGUUGGAUGGGCGGCAUUUUGGGGGUCACAUGAGCCAGUGGCAUCAUGCCCGCGGGCGCUGGGGUCAGGGUCGCGCGGCUUUUCCGGACGUUCUUCGGCCAAGAGGAAGGGCGGAAAGCACAUCGCGGAAAGGUGGAAAGACUAUCUCCCAGUUGGACAGCGGAUGCCUGGGACUCGUUUCAUUGCUUUCAAAGUUCCUUUAAAAAAGAGUUUUGGAAAGAAUCUUGCUCCAGAAGAAUGUUUUUCCCCCUUGGAUCUUUUUUAACAAACUCCAAGAACAGAAUGAAGAACAUGGGCUGAUUAUUGACUUAACAUACACUCGCCGCUAUUAUAAGCCAGAGGAGUUACCAGAAACUAUUCCUUAUUUAAGAAUUUGUACAAUUGGGCAUCAGGUGCCAGAUGAUGACACUAUUUUUAAAUUCCAAUGUGCUGUUAAUGGGUUUUUGAAAGAAAAUAAAGAUAAUGG